GAAUUUGCUAAGUACCAUGCUAAAUUAGACAACUGACUUAUCACUUUGUAAGGAUUCUAACAAUUAUUAUUGUCAGUUAUGAUCUCUGUUAAAUUUUAAAGGCAUAUAUUGUUGUUAAAUCAUUUCAGCUGUGUCCAACUCUCUGUGAUUCUACCUAGGGUUUUUUUGCCAAAGAUAUUGGAGAUCUCUGUCAUUUCCUUCUCUAGUUCAUUAUAUAGAUGGGGAACUGAGGCAAACAAGCUUAAGUGAUAUGCUCAGGGUCCCACAACUCGUAAGUGUCUGAGGCUGGAUUUGAACUCAGGUUCUCCUGACUCCGGGGCUGACCCACUUAGCUGUCCCUAAAGAUGCAUAUACAGAAUGGCAAAAUACAAAUCAACAAUGUAAACUCAAGGGCACAUAUCCUGUUUCGUUUUCAUCUGUGUAUCAUCAGCACCUAGCACAGUGUCUGGCACAUAGCAGUUUUGCUGUUCUGGUUAACUAGCAGUUUGGUCACAAGAGGGCACCAUUCUCUAACAAAACAACAAAGAACCAGCUCUACUUGGGCAAGUAUGAAUCAGCUCAUCACAUCAGUGACAGAUUUACCACACGAACACCCCAGUGAGUGUCAGCCCCACUGAGGUCUGGAACUCCAGACCUCAAGUGAUCCACCACCACCUGCUUCCUCAAAAGCAAGGAGUAAGGGUCAUACACCAAUAUUGCCUUGCCCGAUAGACUUUAAACAUCAAUAUCUAUUUUCUGAUCUCGUCAAAUGACUUAAGAAGUACAAGAUUCCUGAGAGGUAACAGGACAACAAUGGAUAGAGAGCUAACCUCUGAGGAAGACCCAGCUUCCAAGACAGUCUCUGACACUGUCUGAAGGAGGGAUUUAACCCCUUAAUGCUCCAAGAAACUUUCAAAUCUGGAUUCAAUAACUUUUUUUCUUUAAUACCUUGAUAAUUACAUUUUCAUAUAAUUAUAUAAUCCUUAUGUAACUGUAGAAUAUAUAUGUAUAUAUAGAUUUCUUUUGACAUCCUAUGCAUUUUUAAACAUUGUUCCAAGGAGUCCAUAAGGUUCCAAAAGGAGUCCAUGAUACAAAAAAGGUUAAGAGUCCCUGUUAUAAAACCAUAAAAUUGCAGAGCAGAUGCCGAUUAGCACUAGUAUUCACUGGGAAUUUCUUAUACAAGUGAAAUUACAGAUCUACUCCAAACUUAAUAACUCAGAGUCUCCUUCCUUACCUGUGAAAGAUCAGUGGGAGAGGGAAGAGGAAGAGAGAAGGAGGGGAGUAAUGAUAAUAGUAGCACGUAUCUCUUUACUUAGGGUUGUUAUGAGGUAGGCUAGAGAGUUGCAUUUGGAAUCACUCAACUUGAGUUUGAAUCUUGACUCUGCCAUUAACCAUCUGUGUGACCCUGAACAAGUUGGUGCUAAGUUCUCUUCUAGCUUUUAAUCUAUGAUUCCAGGAUAUACAUUUGUGAUCUUGAGCAAACCACUUAACCUUUGAGUCUCAGUUUCCUCAUCUAUAAAAAGAGGGGGACUGGACUAGAUCAAAGCUUCUUAAACUGUGGGUCAUGACUCCACAUAGGGUCAUAUAGCUGAAUGGGGGGAUUGUGUAAUUAUAUUUGUUAUCAGUAAAUGUUUGAUUUAUAUGCCUAUUGUAUAUACCUAUAUGUCUGGAGCUGCAUAAAAAAUUUUCAGGUGAAAAGAGGUCACAAGUAGAAACUUGUGGUACUUUAUAUGUUGACCUUAAGGAAAAAGGCCACAUGCAAUCUUAAAACUGAAAUCUUCAUUUUCCAUCAGCUGCUCUGCUUGGAACAUCCUGCUUCCCCCAGGAUAAGAUCAUCACUUGAAAUCUCAUUAUCUUGGUGAUUCACCAAGAUUCAGCUUUGAUUCCUAAUUUCUCCUUAGCAUUCUCUUAUUGGAGGCCUGGAGGACAGAGCACUGCACUUUUCUAAACCCUCCCUUUAUAGAUUGGUCAGACUAAUUUCUAGCUAAUUUAAUUUACCAUUAGCCGCUCUGCUUGGUUCUCACUGUGCAACCAUCAUGCUUCCAUGACAAGUGUCUUCUGACUUUUUCCUCCUUUCUCUGUGUUUUGUUUUUGCCCAUUAAACUGUAAGCUCAUUGAGGGUAGGAACUUUCUUUUUCUUAUUUGUAGCCCCAACUCUUAGCAAAGUACCUGACACAUAGUAGAUAUUUAAUAAAUUUUACUGACUAUUAUUGUUUAAAAAGUAGAACUUCAACGCACUAGUAAGAAUGGAUUAGAUGCAGAUCUCUUUCAUGUCUGAAAAAACUGAACAAGAACAAGCAGGUAUGCAUAUGUUUAUCUACGUAUACAUGUAUGUGUAGAACAUAGACAGACAUGUGUAAAAGCAUUUAGUGCAUAGUUGUUUGUGUGUUGUUUCCCUUUUCCCCGAAAGAAAGUGAGAUGUUUGAGGGAUGUGCCUGGUUUUUGCCUUACUUUGUAUCCCUAGGGCUUAGUAUAGUGCCUGACACAUAGUAACUACUUAAUUGCUUGUUGACUAACUUACUCUAGUGAUCCAAGGACACACAGGUAGAGAACCACAGAACUAGGAAGGAUCCAAAUCAGGUCCCCUACCUCCAAAUCGAAUUCUCUUUCUACUCAAUUGCAUUCUGAUAUAAUGUUAUUAACCUAGUAGCAUUUAUUUUAUCUGAAUAUCAUGACGUAAAGAGAGAUGACAAAAUCAGGCCCCUGUAAAGCUCCUAGUCACAUUCUGACUACAUUAAAAUAUAAUUCAGAAGUGUGUAACAAAAUAAAUGAAAAUGUAAUACAGCAGAGAUAAUGUUCAUUUGUGGUUUUCUAAGACAACAUGCAGCCUUAUCUGCUCCAAUAUGAAACUGAUAAUACUGAUGUAGAGCAAACUGUGAGUUGCAACCCCACACAGGGUCACAUAACUGAAUAUAAAACUCAUAAAUUUAUUGUAUUAUUAUUAUCAGUAAAUGUUUGAUUUGUAUACCUAUUUUAGGUAUCUAUGUACACAAGAUCACCUAAAAAUUUCUUGGCUGAAAAGCAGUCUUAAGUAGGAAAUGACUAAGAAGCCCUGAGGUAGAGGAUUUACUGUGGAGAAGGACCUUUCACCAAUGUUGUUUGGCAACCCAGCUGUGUUUUGUAGGGUUAGAGUGUUGCUGGUAUUCUUGUCCAUGGCCACAGAGCUAGUUAGUAGAUGUUGGGCAGAGGACUUCAACUUAUAUCUUCCUGAUUCCAGGGUUACUCUUUGACCCAUUCUGAUGAUCCAUUCAGAUCCAGCUCCAUUAUCUCAUGUUCAGUAGAUGCACAUAAUAUUAAAUACACUUAAAUAUGUAUAAUUAUUAUACUAAAUUAUAUAUAUAAAUAUAUAUAAUGAUAAUAAUUAUAAACAUAUAAUAUAAAGUAAGUUUUACAUAGUCUAUGUACUAUGUUAAAUACUUUCCCAUGGAAUUCUAUAUAACUUCACCUGUGCUAUUACUUGGGUAUUUAUUCAUCUAGUUAUAUUGUUAACUAUAUUGCUUCUAUAUUCCAAGCUCUAUGAAGAUAGGGCCUAUCCCUCCACAAUAUGUCUCCAUCUCAAGGCAUUCUUCCUUGUUUCCCCCAUACCUGUGCUCACCCCCCUCAUCUCUGUCUCCUGGUUUGCUUCAAAUCCCAACCACAAUCCUGCUUUUUACAAGAUGCCUCUUAAUGCGACUGCCUUCUCCUUUGUGACGAUUUGCAGUUUAUCCUGUCCAUAUAUGGUUUGUUCAUAUUUAGUUACAUCGUUACCUCCAUUAGCCUAUGAGCUCCUUGGGAGCAAGCACUGAUCUCUGCCUUUCUUUGUAACCCCAGCACUUAGUACUGUGUGCCUGACACACAAUAGGCACUUAAUACUGUUGCCUGAUUAUUUCUAUUUUUGCAUAGCUGACAGAACUGUGUUUUGUGCAAAGUAGGUGAGUAUUUGUUGACUAUAUGUCUUUCCCCAUUACUCUCUAGAGUAUUGAGUUUUAGUUUCUUAAAGGAAAAAAACCUUUUCUCUUUUCCAUUUUUUAAUCUUCCCAGCAAUGAAUUAUUGUGCUCUUAGUAAACAUUUAGUAAAUGUUUAUCAAAUUGAAUUGUUCAUUAGGAAGAUAAGACUAAGGGAGAAUGAAUUAGAAGAAUAAGAGAAUAUCCAUGCUGGGAUGUUCAAGAAAAUAAUUCACUGAUCACUGAAUAAAUAAUAUAUUUGGAUAUAACCUAAAUAUUUAGGUAUAACAAAUAUUUAUAUAUAAAUAUAAAGCUGGAAGACCCCUUUAAAGGUCAUGCAGUGCAGCCUUUCACUUUUAAAGAGAAGGCCCAGAGAGGGAAAGUACCAGUAGAAUUUGUCUGUAAAAGUAGCCAGCAGAAAGGAAUAGAAUAAUUUACCUCACAACAUUUCAGGUGGCUCUUCUUGGUUUUGAUUCCAUACAUAGAAGCCAUGCAUCCCCCAAGAUAAAUUCUUCACCAGAAAUCUUGGAUCUAGAAUGGUAUCCAAGGACCAUCAUCUGUUUUAAUUUUCAUAUCUCUUACAAUAUCCUGGACUGGUGGAGACCCAACCUCCACUUACUCCUAGAUCUCCAGUGAUAGGGAAUUCAUUUCCCAAGCUAGCCUCUUCCAUUUUUUCCCCUUUUAGACACCUUUCUUUUCCUGUCUUUAGGAAGUUUUUUCUUUCAUCAAAGUACCAAAUCUAUCUCUGAAACUUCCACCCUUUGUUUCCAUUUCUUGCCCCUUGGGGCCAAGAAGCAUAUAGAGAACUCCAAAUAUCAGCCCUUUAAAAACAUGAGAAGAAUUAACAUCUUGCUGAGUGCUAGUAUUCUUUUCUGUUCAAUUUUUCUUGAUCAAUAGUCAAUGAGCAUUUAUCAAGUGCUAAUAAUGUGCCAGACACUGUGCUAAACCCUGGAGCUAAGAGUAAGAAAAAGAAAGUCAUUCCCUGCUCUAAGGAGCUUAUAAUCUAAUAGCAGAAGAAAAGGAAGUUGAAAAGGUAAGUCUAGAGAGGGUCAGACAGUAUCCAGCCUGAAGAUAUGAUGUUUGUGGAUGAAACCAAGCAGAGCAGCUGGUGGAAAGUGAAGAGGUAGCUAGAAAUUCUGAGCCCCUAUAAAAGAAACCUUUGGGAGGAGUUCAUUGCUCUGCUUUCCAGCCUUCAAUCAAAGCAAUAGAGGCAACUGAGGGUACUGAAGAUGUAGGGAGUACCAAAACUGAAGGACUCCCCAUGAUGAUGAGAUUUCUGGUGAAGAACUUAUCUUGAGGAAUAAUUUUUAUUCAUGGAGUCAAAACCAAGAAGAGCUAAUUGAAAUAUUGUAAGGUAAACUAUUAUAUUUCUAGAAGUCCAGUGAUAAUCCUUUGCAACUUAGCUAUUAUAUUUCUUUCAGUUUUUUAACCAUCCAAGGAAAGAUUGACUGGUAGUUGGAGUGCCAGACUUAGAAUAGGAAAGACGUAGAUUCAACUCUUCUCUCAGACAUUUCUCAGCUAAAUGACAACAAUUGAGUUUUGAUCCUCAGUUUUCUUGUUUGUAAAAUUGGAAUAAUAAUAGCAUAUACCUCAUAGGGCAGGGUAAUUGUGAGGAUCAAAAGAGGUAGCAUAUGUAAAGUGUGCUUUGCAAACCACAUACAUCAUAAGCUAUUAUUCUUUGUAAAUUAGCCUUAUUAUAUACAUCAAACUCUUGUAUGAAUAGUCCUAUUUUCAUUUGAAAGUAAGCAAUUAUUUUAAAAUUCUCUUAGAAUUAUUGUAUUUAAAAAUUGUGGAUACCUUACAAUUCAUGUAAUACAUAACUUCUAAAGCACAAUUAAUAUAAAUUCUGGGCUCCCCAUUAAUUAAAUGUGAGGCUAUAGACAGCAUCUUUGUAUCUGUAAUUGUUUUGUUUUGUUUUGUUUUUUGGUCAUAGAAAGUGUAUGAAAGGAUAUGAACACAGAAAGAAAUUUCAUAUUACUUUAUAUAAAGAGUCCUGUGGGCGUAAACAAGGCAGCUAUGAGCCAUGGAUGCUACUCAAGCUGAAAUGAACAAUGGAAAAUAAAAAUGAGGUGCAUUAACAUAUGAAUCAAGUGAUUUUGAAAGGUCAUCUUCCCAGAUCUGGGUUAGGUUUUGUUUUGGUUUUCAUUGUUAGUGUUCUAAAAUUUCAACUUAGAAAAUAAAAUCCAUAAAUAUUAAUAAAUGGAAGUGAGCAUCAUGACAGAUAAAAUAACAAAGCACCACGGGCUUCUCAUUGUCCUUGUAUAUGACUGGGAUUUGGACAAUAUAUCUUAUCACCAGCUGGUAGCAGGUUUAUUUGUAUAGUUCCUAACGUGAAGCUUUCUUCAGGAACUGCUUUGCUUGGGUCCCUUGAAUAACUGAAUUACAACCAUUCUUCCCACCUUUCAAUUUAUCCAGAAUACCAGCCCCAUAAUUGUUAAUUAUUCCCAGAAAUUGGAAUUCCACCUUCCUAAUCAUUAAAUUUUUGCAUUGAUUUUCUCUUCUUCAACUUUGCCUAACAAAUCUUUAUUGAUUUUUAAUUGAUCUGUAGAGAGAAGUUCUAAGGGAAUAGAAACUUUUGUAUCAUAAACAAUAGGGACAAAGGGAUAAGAAGUCAGUCCAGUCAGUAAGCAUUUAAAUGAGGCUUACUACAUCCCAGAUACUGUGCUAAGCAUUAGGAUACAAAGAAAGGCAAAAACAUGGUCUCUACUUCAAGGGUACCAACAUUCUAAUGGAUGGAGGGAUAAGAAACAAGGAUACCAUAUAAUAUGUACAUUUAUUCACAAAUUAUACUAUUAUAAAGAAAAAUAACUCUGAAAACCUUGAGAACUCUGGUCAAUACAAUGGCCAGCUAUGAUUCAGAGGAGGUAUGUUAGUCUGUUACAUGUCCCUUGACAGAAAAGUGAUGGAUUGUACCCUUUUACAGAAUGAGACUUUUUAGAAACAUUCAAGAUGGGAAUUUGUUUUCCAGGACUGUGUAUAUUUGUUAGAAGAGUUUUUUUGUAUUUUUUUUUCCUAAAAGAGGUAUAAGAGAACAAGUGGGAAUGAGGAAAAGAUAGCCCAAAAGGAAAAGAGAGAAAAGAGUGAUAGAUUUUUUUUUUAAUUUAGAGAAAAGAAGGGAAGGAAGGCCAGAAAGAAACACAAUUCUUAUACUUUUAUUUUCUCUAUUGAUUUCUGUAUUCAUGAACAAAGUCACUUUAACCUCCCCAAAUUUCAGAGGGUCCAUUUAAAAAAAAACCAGAAUUGCUAUGACUAGAGAAUUCAUCAUGGCCCAAUGUUGAUGAGUCUCUCCAUAAUUUGUUAAGCUAGUCCCAGGAAGACAGAGUCUCAUCAUGUAACUGUCCUUGAACCUUGCAAGUGUGAUCAAGUACUUAGAACAGUGAUUAGAAAACAGUAGGUAUUUAAUAAAUGUUUAUUGAGUGAUUGACUGGUAGAAGCUAUCAGAGCUUCUGUUUUUCUGCAGUAGCCUUUGAGAACUUGGAACCAUCUACAUCAUAAUGAAGCAUUGGAGGAGGACCUCAUGAUGGACCUAAAAAUAAUACUUGCCCAUGAGUAUUUAUGGGAAUAAUACAUGUGGCAGUGGUUAGAGAGGUUCCACAAUAGAGUCAGAAAGACUUAAAUUCAAAUCCUGUCUCAGAUAUUUAUUA